rnacentral:rRNA from 1 species
GAUGAACGCUGGCGGCGUGCCUAAUACAUGCAAGUCGAGCGAACAGACGAGGAGCUUGCUCCUCUGACGUUAGCGGCGGACGGGUGAGUAACACGUGGAUAACCUACCUAUAAGACUGGGAUAACUUCGGAAAACCGGACCUAAUACCGGAUAAUAUAUUAAACCGCAUGGUUCAAUAGUGAAGGACGGUUUUGCUGUCACUUAUAGAUGGAUCCGCGCCGCAUUAGCUAGUUGGUAAGGUAACGGCUUACCAAGGCAACGAUGCGUAGCCGACCUGAGAGGGUGAUCGGCCACACUGGAACUGAGACACGGUCCAGACUCCUACGGGAGGCAGCAGUAGGGAAUCUUCCGCAAUGGGCGAAAGCCUGACGGAGCAACGCCGCGUGAGUGAUGAAGGUCUUCGGAUCGUAAAACUCUGUUAUUAGGGAAGAACAAAUGUGUAAGUAACUAUGCACGUCUUGACGGUACCUAAUCAGAAAGCCACGGCUAACUACGUG